AGGACUUAGCUGGCAGCAUAUUUGCAUGUGCUUUAAUGAUCUUUACACGUUCGGCAUCGAAAAGCUUUCUCUGUCACUGAAACACUGUGUAAAAUUACAAGAUCUUCACUGAAUGCGAGGCAUGGAAGACUUUUAAUGAUGGCUCUACUUUGCUGAAAUAGGAAUGAGCUUCCAAUGAAUAAAGGUCGGAUUAUGUGUUGGUCACAGCAGAGCAUGGCCAAUAACAAAUAUGAAGUGAAGGAUGACCAGUAACAAAUAUAAAAGGCCUAAUGAACACAUUCUUGAUUUUAUAAAAUAGAAUUACAAUUUUGAAGUGGAUAAUGAAGGAAGUAAUAAACCUUUUUGAAAAUAGAA